GACGAACGCUGGCGGCGUGCCUAAUACAUGCAAGUAGAACGCUGAAGGAGGAGCUUGCUUCUCCGGAUGAGUUGCGAACGGGUGAGUAACGCGUAGGUAACCUGCCUGGUAGCGGGGGAUAACUAUUGGAAACGAUAGCUAAUACCGCAUAAGAGUAGAUGUUGCAUGACAUUUGCUUAAAAGGUGCAAUUGCAUCACUACCAGAUGGACCUGCGUUGUAUUAGCUAGUUGGUGGGGUAACGGCUCACCAAGGCGACGAUACAUAGCCGACCUGAGAGGGUGAUCGGCCACACUGGGACUGAGACACGGCCCAGACUCCUACGGGAGGCAGCAGUAGGGAAUCUUCGGCAAUGGACGGAAGUCUGACCGAGCAACGCCGCGUGAGUGAAGAAGGUUUUCGGAUCGUAAAGCUCUGUUGUAAGAGAAGAACGAGUGUGAGAUUUGAAAGUUCAGG
rnacentral:rRNA from 1 species